CACUGAGUCUUUACACUCGUGCUGAGGCCGCGUGUCCACUGCCCCGCCAGGGCCCGGCAUCUCCCUUUUCAAACUUCUGUAGCUGUAUCAUUUCAACAAGGAGUCUUGUUGAAUGCUCUGCCACAUUUUAACG
rnacentral:lncRNA from 1 species